UCUCUCGCGACCACGCCCUCGGGGCAGUUUUCCAUUGCCCAGCGCCCCACACCUUGCCCCACCUCUUCCCUCCCCGCCAGCCACCGCCUGCCUCCAUCUGCACGCGUCGCCGGACCGCCGCGUCCACACGUAGCCCGGACUGCCGCCCACGCUCCAGGCGACCGGUCCGCCACGCCCACGCUUGAGGCGCCCAGGCCGCCCCAUCCACGCUCCAGGCGAACCGCGGCGCCCACGCUCCAGGCUCCCGGGCCGCCCCCUCCAUGCUCCAGGCGGACCACGGCGCCAUAGCUCCAGGCGCCCGGACCGCCACGCUCACGCUCCAGCCGCUCGGGCCGCCGCGUCCACGCACCGCCCGGUCACAGGCACCGCCGUUCCUCCACACUGCAGGAGUUUGUCUCCUGCGUUGUGCCAGAUGCAACAUGUACUGAAGCCGCAGGACGCCCUUGAACAACGGGAUCUGCCGCCUCCCUUGGACUUCGCCGGCAAGGCGUGAUCCGUCGUCGCCACCCACUCCUCCCAUGGGAGGAUGCGGCUGCUAUCAUCAACCUCCGCUCCAUGGGCGUGCUCCCAAAUUCAAUAUGUUAGAUUUGCAGAGACUGAUGUUGCAUGACGCAAGAAGAAACAUGUGGUUCUGUUGCGAAUCACCGCAGCGAUGCAGUGCCAUGGAAACUGGAGAAUUUUUAUCUACUAUACUUGUUCGUUGCCUGCAUCAUAUUGCAGUUCCAAAGUCCACAUAAGGAAUUUUAAAUAAUACAUAAUUCAUUGGCGUGUACUCUGUCAUAGGAUGUUGCUUUACAUUUUGGGCGCACCAUGUUUUAACUGAGAAGGCAGUUGUUGGUACAGUUAGAGUUCAAAGAGGUCCUUCGACGAGGGUGUGUCAAAACUCAGCUAGGCGCUUCGAUGUCAACUGUGGUUCCUUCGCUACCCUCCUCAUUCGGUGUUCCACCUCACCACUCCCCAGCAGUGGGAGCAGAGCAGCCGACGGGUUCCUGGCUUACCUGCCUCGCAAAGAGCUGGUGCUUUUUUGGAAAUUUGGUAACACCACAAGCAGCAAUCGAUUUUGAAAGCCAAAAAACAUCCAAAACAUGUACAGUGGGAGUACUGCCAGUUUAGGAGCAAAGUAACCAUUACUAGAGUAAUGAAUAUGAGAAAUGAAUAGUUGAUGAAACUGAGCGCUGUUGUAAUUCUCGACAGUGAAAUGGUCUUUUUUGUCCCAGUAAAGGUUGGAGGUAGAAUCAGCUUCAAUCUCGAGUACCCAAUUGUAGAGAAGACGAAAGGAGGCACAACAUAUAUGGAAGAUGGUAACCAGAUAAUGAAGCAAUUUUUGGUGCACCUACUCAACUACAUCAACAGUGAAGCUGCACACAACAUUUCGGAUGUUUGAGAGAAUUGAUCAGCUUCAUCAGGAAAUACUGCUAUAAUUUUUUGGCUCUAUGAAUAAGAUGAGUCGAUGAUACAUUGAAGUGUCUUCUUGAUUUAUAAUAGUACUUUUUAGUGCAAUUAAAAUAUCUUUCUGGGUAUGUUAAUUCUUACAUAUAUAUUAGUUGAGACGUGCAUUUACACGGGCACGCUUACUAGUAAGGAAAGAAAAGCAUUGAAUAGGAAAGAGAGUUGAUUGCAGAUUCGUUUUUCCUUUGGAGCCCUGUUUCUUUUCGUGGUAAAAUAGCAAAAAAAAAAAAAGGUGUGGCAGAUCUGUUGGGAUUUGGGACGUGAUCCUUCCCACGUGUGUUGUUUGACUUUGGAAAGAAUCAGAAUAAAAAGAGAGAGGACGACUUAAUUGGUAGAGUUCGGAAGGAAAUAACGUGAGUUAUCUCUACUACUAUUAAACAAGCAAACAUAUUCUUUUCUAAACGCACCCCAUCAAACAUACACACAAUAAUUUCAGACUAUUAGAGCCACACGAUUAGGGAUACUCAUUUAGAUCUAGCCGUCAGAAUAACAACUAACCCUCAACCAAAAGUACAUCUAUCAAUUUUAGUGGGCGGACGAAAACUCUGCCGGCCAUCGUACGCACGAGCGAACGAAAAGUUCUCGACACCCACCCAAUCUCACCCCUAAAUUAGCGCUAACCUCCCAAUCUCACCCCAAAUUUAGCGCUAACCUCUCUGGUCGCACAAAUCUCCUCCAAGCAGAGUGGACGCGCCGUGGGCGGCCACUGGCGAUGAGGUCGCGCGCGAUCCCGCGCGGCGCGGCGGCUCCCGCUCCACCUCGCCUCUCCGGCUGAACAGGUCUCCUCCCUAGGCACGACGUGGGUGCACGCAGACGCAGGGCGGUCGCCGGCGAACGAGGCCGCACGCGAGACCGCGGCGAGGCGGCGCGGAGCCCUCUGCUCCCUCCAGUUUGUGAUCUGCUCAUCUGCAUCGGUCACCUCCAUCGCCACCGCGAGUCACCUCCUCCUCCGCCGCCAGGAAUCCCAUCGACGGCAAGGUAACUGCCCUCCCCGGUCAUCACGCCCUGCUUGCUGCGUGUGUGUGGUGUGCUGUGUGGGUGCUUAAUGCUGAGUGCUUUCCAGCUUGUCGCUGAUGGCCCGCUGCUGUUGCUUUGUUGUAUAGUAGUAUGAUUUUUGAGUCAGACUAUGAUCCAUGCACUUAAGGGAAGGGAUUAUGAUGCUGCUGAACUGGGAGUCCUUUAUCUUGAAGCCAGAAGUUUGGUAUUGGCUGAUGUUCCCCUUAGCGUUUGGGCAUUUCAAGCCCCUUACUUAAGCGAUUUACGUGUGCACAAGUUUAAGUGGAAUACAUUUUUCUGUUCAAGAAAAACUUGCUGGAUUAAUUUGUUUUAUCUGGCGAUGAAGUGAUGGUGCACGAGGACGGACUUCCUAGAUAAGAAAAUGUCUGUGCUCUUCUCGAUGGUGCAAAGUUGAGGUGUUCUCAAAUCUCAAUGACCUAUUCUUUUUUACUACUCACUCUUCAAUGUUCCUUUUUUUUUGUUUUUGUCUAUUCUUAUGUUCUUUGUUUCCGAUUUCAACUUUCCAAGGAUUUAGUUAAAAAAAAAUCAAGGAUUGUUCUUCUCAUGCCUUCUGUUGGUUGUUCAAGGAUGGUGCUGAAAUUUUGGGAGAGAUGGAGAACAUGGAGCCUUGGGUAGCUGAAGUACAUCCUUCCUUAAGCGUAAGAUGCGUUCUGGUUCAUAGGUAAAUCAUGAAGCAAAACUUUGUUGCUUUUUCAAUUUUUCUCUAUGAAGCAAGAUGGUCUGCAUUUUAACAGUACACGAAUAUAAAAUAGGGAUGGUUAAAACAAUGGCUCAAGUUUUGAUUUGAUAGUUAAAACAAUGUUAAAAAAUAGGAUUGUUUUGUGCUCUCUUCGGAUAUUAAUCCAAUUAGGCUUAGCAGUAUAUGAAUGCACAAGCUCUUUAGGAAAGCCAAAAGAGAAAAUGGAAAACUAUUACAUGUCUAUUUGUCCAAACAACGUAAAUCGAGACUUCUAUCUUGCCAAAACCUCUUAUUAUUGCGUUCAUUUUCUUCCUAUUGUUUACAUGUCACCUCUUUGUUGGUUGUUGUAUGGUGCCAAGGCCAUUAGAAAAGAGUAAUGCCUCAAACAAGGUAGUUCUGAAGAUAGAACUCAGGGUAGCUACCAUCGAUGAUGCUUUCCAGCAAGCUCCUGGGUGACUACUCGAUGCCGACCAUUGUUGGUUUCCUUCAUGGCUAUUGUAAAAUGAUGAUUCAUAUAUCACAUGCUCUUUAUUGGUAUUGGCAUGCCUGUAUCACUUCACUUUUGUUCCUUUCUUAGGGGUUGCAAGAAACAUAUACUAAUGGUUACGGGCAGAGGAGCAAAUAAGAGAAAUUACAAUGUCACAACUAUUCUCAGUUAUGAGAAUACUGAAACGGAUAUAGACUGAUGAGAUGAUGUUCAUACAUGUUGAAGCAGGUUUCGGAAAGAAGUAAUGGAUAUAGAACUAACUAUGCUCAUCCUGUUGGUAGGACAUUCUCAUAGAUCGUUUUUUUUCUUGUUCUGGUUGUCAUAUGCUAAAGGCUGUGUACCUAUGAAAAAAGAAGAUACUUCAAAUUUUUUAUGUAGUACUUGGUGUAUGUGUGCUCA